AAGCAGCAGAAACAUAAGUCGUGGAAGAUGGAAGAGGAGGGAGGAGGAAAGCUGUGAUCACUUCUUGGUGAGAGAGAGGACGGUGGGGAGGACGAUGACGAGGAUGAUGAUGAGGAGGAGGAUGAUGGCGAUGCAGGUCCACUUGCGGGUGUUCUUCUGGUAGACGCGGGCGGUGGUGAGAUUGUCGGUGCCGUGGCGGACGAAGGACUGGGCGCGGCCGACGUUGCUCUCGAUGUCGUCCAGCUGCUGCCCCUGCGCCUCCACCAGCACCGCCAUGUCCAUGAACACCUGCUGUAGCUCCAGCAGGCUGCGCUCCAGCUCCGCCACCGCCCCGUGCCGCUCCUGGAUCUCCGCCACCACGUCCAGCACCCGCCCCCUCCCCUGCUCCUCGAUGGCCCGCUGCAG
rnacentral:lncRNA from 1 species